rnacentral:rRNA from 17 species
GAAACAUCUAAGUAGCCGGAGGAAAAGAAAUCAACCGAGAUUUCCCUAGUAGCGGCGAGCGAACGGGAAACAGCCUGCAAGUAAUAUUUAACGUUUUAGUGGAACAAGCUGGAAAGCUUAGCGAUACAGGGUGAUAGCCCCGUACACGAAAAGGCGUUAAAGGUACUAAGCUUGCGACAAGUAGGGCGGGGCACGAGAAACCUUGUCUGAACAUGGGGGGACCAUC